GGAGAGGUGUCCGAGCGGCUGAAGGAGCCGGUCUCGAAAACCGGUGUGCGGGGAACCGUACCGUGGGUUCAAAUCCCACCCUCUCCGCCA
rnacentral:tRNA from 1 species